CAGGGAUGCCUGUUAGUCAUGGUAUUGUCAGGGCCAAAUGCAGGAUAGUUCGAUCGCUGGAGGACGCAGACACCAUACAGCAAGGAGAGAUAUUAAUAGUGCCGUACACGGACAUCGGAUGGUCACCUUACUUCCCUCUCGUGUCCGGUCUGUGCACAGAGAUGGGAGGCCUUGGAUCACACGGAGCUGUGGUAGCAAGAGAAUACGGACUGCCAUGCAUUGUGUCAGCGAAGAAAGCGACGUAUGUCUUCAAAACAGGUAUGUAUUAUUCUG